UACAGAGGUCCCAAGCGUUGUUCGGAUUCACUGGGCGUAAAGGGUGCGUAGGUGGUCAGGUAAGUCGGAUGUGAAAUCUCCGAGCUCAACUCGGAAACUGCAUUGGAAACUACCUGGCUCGAGGGUUGGAGGGGGGGACUGGAAUGCUUGGUGUAGCAGUGAAAUGCGUAGAUAUCAAGCGGAACACCAGUGGCGAAGGCGAGUCCCUGGACAACUCCUGACACUGAUGCACGAAAGCUAGGGGAGCAAACAGG
rnacentral:rRNA from 1 species